UACGGGGGGGGCAAGCGUUGUUCGGAAUUACUGGGCGUAAAGGGCUCGUAGGCGGCCAUCUAAGUCGGGUGUGAAAUCUCGGAGCUUAACUCCGAAACUGCAUUCGAUACUGCCGUGCUUGAGGACUGGAGAGGAGACUGGAAUUUACGGUGUAGCGGUGAAAUGCGUAGAUAUCGUAAGGAAGACCAGUGGCGAAGGCGGGUCUCUGGGCCGAUACUGACGCUGAGGAGCGAAAGCGUGGGGAGCGAACAGG
rnacentral:rRNA from 1 species